UCAGUAUCUUUUAUCUAGCGGCGGUCAAAUUAUAAUGACUGUUUAUACGACCUCUCACAUGGCACUCCCGUGACAUUGAAAUUAGCGUCGCGUCGAUCCGCGUGCAAUCCGUGCGAGCUCUUUUAAAGAUACUUUACGAGACCACUUAGGAGAAGUGGAGAUUUUGAAAAGUUAUCAAGCCGGACAUAAAAUUGCGAUAGUACCGUCUUGAAUCUCUCUCUCUUAUCGCGACUCGCUUUACUCAGAUUACCACCUUCAUGACUUUGCACUGAUACAUUCGAUUCAGCGUAACGGAUACAGCAAGAAGAAGAGGGCAAGAAGAAGAGUAAACCAGUUGCAUGUAUAUAAAAUCUAUCUAAACCGUGACACACGUACGUACGUGUGCGAUAAGUCCCGGUGUAAUCAAACGCGAAUUGAUACCUCCCCAAUACCGGGCGAAAAUGGACCGGUUCGCUCAUUAUCAGCCCGGAACGAUAGUCGAGUGCAACUGCAUUCGCUUUAGUGUUUUUCCACGAUCCGGCACGGCCUCGUCACACGACGGGAUCUCGCGUGGGUGAUCUAGGAGCUAGUACAAAACACGCGGAUGCGGCAGACACGCGGCAGACACGUGCGAUGAGAUGACGCAGGUGGCAUGACUGCUCAUCGGCCGCCUCGACAAAUCUUCGAUAAGCGUUGGACAUUGGAAUGUACAAUAGAAUCAGCUUGACCUCUUAACCAAACGUUCACGUUGAACGUCUACGAGUCGAAAUGUAAUUGUCGAAGAAUCGUGCGAUUUCUGAUCCGAUUACGAAAGCCCAAAAGUAUCUUCGAAGACGAGGCACGAAACUGAGAAGCGUGUAUCGUAGGAAUAACGCUCCCCAGCUUGAAUUAAAAUCGAAUUUCCUUCGAUUUUCUUGUAUGGACGUACGCUAAAACAAAAUAAAUGGUUUUUCAUCAUCA